CAAUAGCGUAUAUUAAAGUUGUUGCAGUUAAAAAGCUCGUAGUUGGACCUUGGACCUGGACAGGCGGUCCGCCUCACGGCGAGUACUGUCUUGCUGGGUCUUUCCUCUUGGUGAUCUGUUGUUUCGGCAGCAGGGAACCAGGACCUUUACUUUGAAAAAAUAAGAGUGUUCAAAGCAGGCUCGACGCCGGAAUAUAUUAGCAUGGAAUAAUAAAAUAGGACGUGCGGUUCUAUUUUGCUGGUUUUUGGAAUCGCCGUAAUGAUUAAUAGGGACAGUCGGGGGCAUUAGUACUCACAUGCUAGAGGUGAAAUUCUUGGAUUUUGUGAAGACUAACUUCUGCGAAAGCAUUUGCCAAGGAUGUUUUCAUUAA
rnacentral:rRNA from 1 species